AGGCCACAGACAAGAUGUCUAAAAGUGAUAGGCAGCUAUGGGAGCAGCUUCAGCCAUGAACUCCUCACAACUAAAACCGGAAUAGUCUCGUCUAAUUUUUUUUCGAUUCAAUUGCUCCGCCAGACCACGACUUGACUGCACCGGUGGCCAGACAAACGUCUCAAAGGCUAAAGCCCAAAGCCAUCAAAUUUACACAAACAGCCACGCCAUUUACUUCAUUAUAGGGCUGUUUAUGUCUUUUAAUGUAGGAAUCCCAAAAUUCCAAACGUCACUUGCAGGCAACUUUGACUCCUCACCCUCUAAUCCCCUCCAUAACAAGUUAAUUUUCUCUUUAACAUUUGCCCUCCCUUUGUUCUAUCAUUUUCCACUCUAUCAUUUUCUACCCGUAAUAUGUUCAAUGGUUAAGGGUAUUUCUGUAAUUGAAUGCAUCAGCGAUACCGCCAAUUCCCUUCAUCGUUUCUUCAAUCCUCAGAUUUCUGAGAACUGAAAAACAGUUGAGACGAGAGGGAGUGAGUUAGAGAGAGAGAGAGAGAGAG
rnacentral:misc_RNA from 1 species